AUAACCAAUUCCAAAAAUAGAUGAUACUCCAAGAAAAGUUAAAAUUGUAAGAAACGCUGGAACAGAAGAAUGAAGUACUUGACGAGCUGCUCUUUCACCGGCUUCAACAGCCCCGUCCAUAUAUCCUGUAUAAAAUAAUGAAAUGAAAAAUUAAAAUCUUUUAGCAGUUUCAACAGUAAA